CUGCAUUCUGUUUAUUCUCCACAACCAUAUCGCAUCAGUGGCUACCCAGAGACCUUGACUUCACUAUCUAAGUAAUCUAGCCCUGAAACACUCUGUUAGCUUUGAAGUUAGCAUUCGUGGUGAUCAUGUUGAAAUUACAUUCCAAGCAAAAGAAACAGAACCCACUGUGCUCAAUUCAACUAUGGAAUCACUAAAGGAUGCCAAUCUUAUAUAAUUAAAUCUUGAUUGAUUGCUGAUAUUUUGGCGGUUUCAUCAUUACAACUCGUCCACCUACAAAGGACUACCAUGUUUGCUCAGAAGAGCUGAACUGAACUGCUCUUAUUGUGCUGAGAGUCGUGAAGGCAUUGUCAGCGUGGAUAUUAUUAGCGGCCAUGCUAUUCUUAUUGCACUGAUGACAAAACUAUUGAAGAUGAUAGUCUUGCGGACCUUUUCAUCAACACCCAAGAUUGCUUGUCCUUUGAAAUGGAAGAUUGUGAUUUCUCCAUUAACUUCUUUCUUGGGAGCUCUGUCAAUAGAGCCAGGCCGCCCAGCAUUGGCACUACCAAAUUUACCCAGAACAAUUGGAUACUUGUUAUGGGCAUAUUUCCUGUAGAUGCUGCUAUGAUAAAUGUUACUAGAAGCCCUGCGGCUACUAUGUGCAGGAGCCUCAUUCGUUUUAACUCCAAUGACUGCUACUGUUUCCCCUUUUUGCUUCAAACACUUAACCAGAAGAAGCUUGUCGGAGGGGAGUGAGUUUCCCAUCACUGAAAUUUCACUUACCAUCUUCAUCCUGUCUUCAUCACUGCAAUUCCUGAACUUUUCACCUGUGGUCACCAUUUCAUUUGAAAUCGGCACCCCCUGAAUUCUGAAAUGCUCAGCUAUGCUCACUAGUGU